GAGCGGCAGUGGGUAGGAAACUGAAGACACCUGAGUGAGAACAGAGAGUUGGAUGGGUGGGGCAUCAGCAGCAAAAUCACUUAAAAAGAGUUUGCCAAACUGUCCAUCCCCUUAGAAGCUCUCUAGCCCUGCUUGGCAUCUGUGAUAAUGAAGCCCCUUGUGGGAUUAUCCAUGCUGUUCUUGUCAUUAUCUCAGGCACAGUUUCAUUCUUUUGGAGUGUGGACAACUUGUAUCGACGAAAGACUUACGGUCAUUGUGGAGAAAAAUAUUUUUCGAAAUGGUACAGUUCUGCAACCUAACCAAGUGAUUCUGGGAAAUGGCUGUCAAGUAACUUCAUCUUCUCCAUAUCGAUUAUACUUGUCCUAUAGCCUAUCGCAAUGCGGGAUAGAUGUACAGAUAACACCCGACAUGAUUUAUAUCCGCAGUGUUUUGUACUUUUUAUGUGAAGAACGGUUACCUUGUCCCUGUGUUACUAUACCUCUGGUUUGUCAGAUUGCCAGGACAUUCACUCUAGAAGAAUUCAUUUUUGGCGAUUGGUCUGAUCUAGAUAACAUCUUUGCUCUUUGAAGGUCUCUCUCUCGUCAACCCAUCUACCUUGUGGGCUCAUCAAAAUGUUGGUCAUCUACCAUGACUAUCAAGAUCUGGACCUUGGACCAGAUUUCUGGGUCAUUCCUUUGUCCUUGAGGUCUAUUCUCUGAUCUGUCAUGCUAGAGGGAGAUGGGACGAGCUGUUUACUAGUCAUCUUUGUUCAUCAGGAUGCUGCUUCAGUAUGCUUUCAGCAACGGGACAAUAACACUUAUUAUCAAGAGACUUUUUUAGAAAGUUGUGAUAGUACCUAUCAAGAUUCUGUGAAGCUUUUCACUGUUUGGUUUUAAAUUGAAUGUUCUUUUAAAUAAACAGACAUCUACGCUGCCUUUUAAUGGUUACACAAAUAUAUAGAUUAUUCUUUUACAUUCAUUUUUCUUAUUUUGAAUUCAAAUUUCUCUCCCUUCCU